GGGGAUGUGGCUCAAGCAGUAGCGCGCUCCCCUAGCAUGGGUGCGGCCGGGGUUCCAUCCUCCGCACCACA
rnacentral:tRNA from 1 species